AACGAACGCUGGCGGCAUGCCUAACACAUGCAAGUCGAACGAGACCUUCGGGACUAGUGGCGCACGGGUGCGUAACGCGUGGGAACCUGCCCUUAGGUUCGGAAUAACUCCUCGAAAGGGGUGCUAAUACCGGAUAAUGUCUUCGGACCAAAGAUUUAUCGCCCUUGGAUGGGCCCGAGUUGGUUGAGCUUGUUGGUAGGGUAAGAGCCUAUAAAGGCGACGAUCCAUAGCUGGGUUGAGAGCAUGAUCAGCCACACUGGGACUGGGACACGGCCCAGACUCCUACGGGAGGCAGCAGUGGGGAAUAAUGGACAAUGGGCGAAAGCCUGAUCCAGCAGUGCCGCGUGAGUGAUGAAGGCGUUAGGGUUGUAAAGCUCUUUUACCCGGGAUGAUAAUGACAGUACCGAGAGAAUAAGCUCCGCCUAACUCCGU
rnacentral:rRNA from 1 species